GCCAAGGGCAUGGCUGGUUGGCUACGUUCGGGAGGGAUAACCGCUGAAAGCAUCUAAGCGGGAAGCCUGCUUCGAGAUGAGUGUUCCCACCCCCUUGAGGGGUUAAGGCUCCCAGUAGACGACUGGGUUGAUAGGCCGGAUCUGGAAGCCCAGUAAUGGGUGGAGGUGACCGGUACUAAUAGGCCGAGGGCUUGUCCA
rnacentral:rRNA from 1 species